rnacentral:lncRNA from 1 species
UUUGAACAGAUAAUGGCUAUUAAACAGGGGCUAGAUAACUAUUUCUAAUUUUAUCCUUAAACUCAAAAUUUUAAACACGAUGACUCUUUUCUCGAUUUCUCUCUGUUUUGAUUACAUUGCUCUCCUCUCAAUCUUGAUUUCUCCGUUUCAAUUACAUUGCUCUCAUAUUAGUCUUGAAUUCUCCCUGUUUCAUUAUCUUUCCACUGUUAUAAUUUACCGUUUUAGUCCGAAUCUUGAAAUAUACAUACUUUAUCUCCAAAAAAAAAGAUCACAAUCAUGGCGGAUGAUGAUGGUGGAUUGGAAAAUCAAUCUGGGCCUGAAACAAAAAAAAUCAAGAAAGAUGUGUUGAGGGCAAAGAAAAAGGCAUUCUUGAUAAGAAAAGAACGUAGAAAGAAGAAGACAAUGGAAUUAUCAUUUUUGUGCAAUAUCAAGCAGAUCUAAACAUGGCCUGAGAGUUGCAGUGAUGUAUCUACUUGUACAGAAAUGACUGUUCAAUAAAAAGAAGCGAAAAUCGCAACAUGAUGAUCUUGGUUAACAAGAAGCAGGUUUUGGGAGGUGAUGUAAGAGCUAAUAAUAGGCUUUGGGCCUGGAAGAAUUUCUGAAAAAGGUGGAGGACAGUAUAGACCAAGUCAAGAAACGGAUUUAGGUGGUCAAGUUCAAAGAUCAAGAAACAGAUUCAGGUUUUUACGUGAUUAUUAUUAUUGUGAUUGGACCAGCCCUUUUCAUUCACUUUUCAUUACGUUCUUUCCUGAUUUCAUUCUUAUGUAUUUGUUCAUGGAUGGACACGGGAACUAUUACGUUCUUUGUGUCUUCUGGAGUAUGUAGGUGAAUAGACUUCCUUUUUUGAAUCAAGGCAACAAAUACUAUUGACUUCUAGGUAUUGUUGGGAUGGAUAAUGUGGAAUUGACGAAUAUUUAAAUCAUGCUUUCUUGAAUCAUAUUAACAGCUCGGAAAUUUUUCAUCUAACUUUGCUGAUGGAUUUUAAGACUGAGUUAAUCGUGCUAUUCUUUUUCUUUUUCUUUUUUGCUGAACCAUGUUUUUUAUUUUUGAUUCUGAAAUUUUGAUGCAAUGUUCUUUGGCAUGUUCAUGUCACUUAUACCAUAAUAAUGGCAAUGUUGGUGGCUCUCAUUUGUCUGCUGCUGAUUAAUGCAUUUGUGUCAUAAAAUUCCUUCUCUCCUUCCUCUAUCUUGUAGCCUGUUUCCGUUGCUUGGUCUAAUACUAUGAUGAGUGUAGUGCUGGUGUCUGCUAUACAAACUGUUUAAUUGAUCUUAUGCAUCUACAUAUUGUACCUAAGAAGUACUGCAUCCAUGUGUUACUCUGGCGAAAGGUAGUGUGUCUUGAUAAAAUCCUGAUACACUUUUGACUUCUGCAGGGGGAUGCUUUCUUAAAUAUACUACUUCUGAACAUGCUGAUAAACUUGAUUAUUCUUUCCCCUUUCUCAGAGGCGGUCCUCGCAUUUCUGCCCCUGGGACUAGGCAUUCAUAUUACUAUUCUGCUUGUGUUAGCCAUUCAGAUUUUCCUCCUUUGAUAUGAUAUCAUCUUGUCUUUACUUCGUUUUUUGGCUUUUCUUCAGUCUAGCAUCUGAACUUGGUGACCCAUUGCCUGGCGGAAAUCCUCCUAAUGCCUGGCUUCCAGGAAAUUUGCAAAAUCUUGGCUCACAUUCUAAUGGUAUCCACAUUGUGCUCAUUAUUUUCACCACUAUUCAGAUAUUUCAUAAAUCUUAACUUUCUGGGCUCUAUUGGUGGCCUUCGUGGCAAUGCUGAUUAUAUGCAUUCCUGAUCUGUGGUUUCCCCUGCACCUAUGUUAUAGCUGGCAUGUAGAAUAAUUAUCUCUUUUAGCAGGAUAGAUGGACAUGGGCGGACACGGGUGGGAAGGUCACGUUACCCCCCCAACUUUCGGG